UACGGGGGGGGGCAAGCGUUUGUUCGGAAUUACUGGGCGUAAAGGGCUCGUAGGCGGCCAACUAAGUCAGACGUGAAAUCCCCAGGCUUAACCUGGGAACUGCGUCUGAUACUGGAUGGCUUGAAUUCGGGAGAGGGAUGCAGAAUUCCAGGUGUAGCGGUGAAAUGCGUAGAUAUCUGGAGGAAUACCGGUGGCGAAGGCGGCAUCCUGGACCGAGAUUGACGCUGAUGAGCGAAAGCUAGGGGAGCAAACGGG
rnacentral:rRNA from 1 species